rnacentral:rRNA from 1 species
UACGGAGGGUGCAAGCGUUAUCCGGAUUCACUGGGUUUAAAGGGUGCGUAGGAGGGCAGGUAAGUCAGUGGUGAAAUCUCCAAGCUUAACUUGGAACUGCCGUUGAUACUAUCUGUCUUGAAUAUUGUGGAGGUGAGCGGAAUAUGUCAUGUAGCGGUGAAAUGCUUAGAUAUGACAUAGAACACCAAUUGCGAAGGCAGCUCACUACACAAUCAUUGACUCUGAGGCACGAAAAGCGUGGGGAUCAAACAGG